UACGUAGGGUGCGAGCGUUGUCCGGAAUUAUUGGGCGUAAAGAGCUCGUAGGCGGUUUGUCGCGUCUGCUGUGAAAACUCGGGGCUUAACCCCGGGCCUGCAGUGGAUACGGGCAGGCUAGAGUCCGGCAGGGGAGACUGGAAUUCCUGGUGUAGCGGUGAAAUGCGCAGAUAUCAGGAGGAACACCGGUGGCGAAGGCGGGUCUCUGGGCCGGAACUGACGCUAAGGAGCGAAAGCGUGGGGAGCGAACAGG
rnacentral:rRNA from 1 species